CCUACGGGUGGCUGCAGUGGGGAAUAUUGGACAAUGGGGGGAACCCUGAUCCAGCCAUGCCGCGUGUGUGAAGAAGGCCCUCGGGUUGUAAAGCACUUUCAGUGAGGAAGAACGCCUGGUGGUUAAUACCCAGCAGGAAAGACAUCACUCACAGAAGAAGCACCGGCUAACUCCGUGCCAGCAGCCGCGGUAAUACGGAGGGUGCGAGCGUUAAUCGGAAUUACUGGGCGUAAAGCGCGCGUAGGUGGCUUGAUAAGCCGGUUGUGAAAGCCCCGGGCUCAACCUGGGAACGGCAUCCGGAACUGUCAAGCUAGAGUGCAGAAGAGGAAGGUAGAAUUCCCGGUGUAGCGGUGAAAUGCGUAGAGAUCGGGAGGAAUACCAGUGGCGAAGGCGGCCUUCUGGACUGACACUGACACUGAGGUGCGAAAGCGUGGGUAGCAAACAGGAUUAGAUACCCGGGUAGUC
rnacentral:rRNA from 1 species